CUGUGCUGCUUUGUUAUGGCAGUCCCAGAAAACUGUUACAGUGUGUUGCCAUGGAAUUCCCUACUUGCCCCUGGAAUUUUGUAGAAAGGGACUUGGGGAGCAGAGAUGCUGGCAACAACAAUGGAGAGAAGGAGGAGGAAUGACCGUUGGUUGCAUGUAUCUGCUGUGGGAGAGGACAGAGAAUAUCACGGAUGGUGGCAGGACUGGUGAAUUAUUUUAUUGAGAGAGUAGAGAGUGAUGUGUUCUGGAGAUCACCUGAGUGUUACAGAAGAAAACAAACAUGGGCCGGGCUUCAUGACAUGGGGUGUUUGCCUACUGCUAAAGGGCUUCUGGGGAUUGGAAGAGAGGUAUGGUGAUGAUGUACAGUGUAGUCCUUAGUUUUGUACAACUUCCGUAUAUAUCCUAUUGAAGAAAUACUCAUUGAGCUUUACCAAGUGUUAUGUCCUGACCCUAAGGUUAGACCUAUGAGAUAAGAUCCAUUUCUGUCUUCAAGGCUCUCCAAAACAAAUAAGGAGUUUACAGUAUACUGAUUUGUCAUUGCCCAGCAAUGAUAAUGAUUAUAGUGGUAACUUUUAAAUAUUAUUAUUAUUAUAGGCAAUGUGUGUUGAGCACUCAUUAUGUUCUAGGCAUUGUGCUAAAUGCCCAUUACAAAGAUUUGAAAAGGCUGCUUAUACGUUAGGCAACUUAAUUAAGUCAGCUACCCAAGGAGGAGCCAGGAUUUAAAGAUCAAUCAAAUCAAUGACAUAGAUGGCUAGGCAAUACUAACCAGCACACUUAGAAUUACUAGAGCGUGAAUCCCUAUGAUGGUUUGAAACACAGAUUUGGAAGUCAGACCUAACUUAGGCCACUGGAUGAGAAAAUCCAAACUGGCAUUUGCGGAAUGUUACCUUGUGUCCUCUCUGUACAUGUCAUUGUCAAAGAAAUCUUUGCUGCACAGUAAAUAGCCGUUCAUAGAGUGUGAGUCCAUGGUAGAGGCACUUCCUCUUGUCAUCAUCAGAAGGUAAGUGCAAGAUGAUGAGUGGGUUCUUUUGAGUCUGGCACUGUGUCUGCCAAUGAAUUUUUCUGUUUCCACUUGCAUUUCUGUCCUCCUUUUAUGUCUUCCUAAAAAAUUAGAUAUUUGUUGGUCAAUACAGCAGCUAACUAUUUGAUAGCACUAGUGACAUUCCAGUUUAUCAAUUUAUAGUGAGAAAUAGAAUCUAUGCAAACGACAAAACCUUUAUCAGUCUGACCAUCACACUGUGUCCUUGGAGGCCUUGGAAGCUGGAUUAUAAUCAAAGGGUUGCAUGAAGUGCGUGGAAUCAGAACAGAGUUAGAUAAAUCACAUAUUUAAUGGUGUCAGGCUAAGACAUCCUGUUUCAUCCCAUCUUCUCCAGAGGUAUGGGCCUUCCAGUGGGAGUGGAAUACCCAAAGUGUGCAAUAUUCCAGGUUGAUUCCAAAGAACUGAAAGUGACCAGCCUUGAGAAAUAUGGAUGAUAAUGAGAAUUAUUUUUCUCACGUCUUCCCUCCCUCCCUCUCUUCCUUGCAUCCUUCCAUGCUUCCUUGCUUCCUUCUUCUCUCUUCAUUUUCCUUUCUCUGACUUCCUAUUUCUGUUACAUCUUUUUGUACUACACUAGCUGCAAAUAUGAACCAAGAAACGUCAUUAAUUUUACCUAAGUGAGGUACCUAUUUUUCCAGAAAUGUAGAAUUAGAAAAAAAGAGAGAGAGAACUAAAAGGAUCGAUGAAAAUAAUGAGAUUUAAAGAGAUUGUGUUUCACUCAAAGUUAAUAUAACUAUAUUGUCUGAGGAGAGACUAGAACUCAGGCCUUCUAAGUCAUCACCAUUUUUCUUAAUGACUGAAUUUGAGUUAAGGCAAAUAAUGCUCUCUUGUUGUAUUAAACUUCUUCUCUGUUUUCUUAAAAAAUAUUCAGAUGUUUCUGUGUGUGAAUAAGUCUUUAACUAGGAAAUCUUUAUAAGGCUGGCCUAUGGGUCAAAUAAGAUUUACUUGUCUAUGCUUUUCAAAGAGGAUAAUUCAUUAGGUAUCUGAUUUUAGAAUUCUAGUUGCAAAAUGAUAUUGCAAAUUAAUGACUAAUGAUUUUAAUAUUUCACUUUGCUUAUUUGUAUGUGUGUAUAUAAUAUGUGUGUUUGUAUAAGCAGAAAGUAGCUAUUUGAAUACCAGGCUUGGGCGACUGUUGAGAUUUCAGUGAAAAGACUCUGUAAGACUUGGAUUUCAAUGAGUCUUUCAGAUAUUUCAUUUUAUUUAGGAUGAUUUGUGAUUAUUUCCUAUUGUCAUAAAAGGCCACUUAGGCCUUUGGCAUGCCUUGAAUUGUCCCAGAAGGGGCUUCAUGGAAUAGUAGAAAGUUCUCUAAACCCUGAAACCAGGUGGACUUAGGUUUGAACUGAAGCUCUGCCACUGAAUAAUUUGUUACCUUGGGCAACUUGAUUAACCUCUCUGAACCCAGCUUAUCAUAUGAAUAUGGUACGAUGAUCUGUUAAUAUACCGACUUACCUUUCUUCUUGCUAUUCUCCAUCCCAAGACAGUAGGUGGAUGCCCUUGCCUCAGGACCGUAAUGGCUUACUGCAUAAGUUGCAGGUCCCAAUAUGACAGCCUCUCACCAAGACAUCUGGAAAAUUGAUGGGGGCUGGAACUUGGAGCUGGUGAGGCAGAGGAAGCCUACCCUGAGAAGAGAAGAGAGACUCACUCCUGGAGUCAGGGAAGAUGAUGGUGUUUUGUGUAAGAGGCGUAGGGCUUGUGAAGGGCCAGUUCAUGGAUAUCAGGACUGACUAAGAGCUAUGGCCUGAGAAGUCACAGGGAACAAGACGUGUCCAUGCUAGUCAUGGAGCACGUGGAGCCACCUGCCUGUGAGUGGAUCCCGUGGGCCUGUGGGCCUGAUGGCCAAGAGAGCGGACCUCUCUCUAGACUUAGGAAAAUAAGGUCAUGGAACACUUUUGACUAACACUCCAUAUCUUCUUGCACCAGGCAUCUUCACAAUAUCAUCAGAGGGUGGUCUUAUGAGAAAAUCCACAAUUUUAUAGCUGGUACAUUUGAUGUUGGAAGAAUGGAACAUGCAGAGGUGAAAACUAAGGAUUGUGUUCAUGUGGGCUUCCAGGCCAUCAAGAUGCCCUCCAACCUGAAGCAGGAAGUGAACAAUGGCUUGAUCAAAGUGGAAGAAACUUCAGAAGCACUGAUAAAGACAGGACACAUUAAUGUAUAUACCAUGUGAGGAAACCUGAGCAGGGCUCCUGGAGUGCCAAGUUUUACAUGGGCAGUGGUUACAUGGGGUGAAACUGGUUGGUGGCAUGAACAGUCUUUGCACACUGCACAGAAGGCAGAUCUACCCCACCUACUGGGGAUGUAACCUGAACCGCUGGACUUGAAUACAACAGUUGGACCACCACCAGGAUACCAGGUAGUAGAAAAUGGUAUAAGCAUGAGGGUUGCUCUCUUGGGAUGUAAUAAUCACCAUGUCAGUGUGUUAGAAUUUAUGCAGUGGAAAUAUUUCAUUUGAACCUACACAUCUCUAUAGCAGUAAGAAAUUAUGAUCUUCAUUUUAGAGAUGAUGAAACCAGUUUUCUGACAAGAAGAUGAUCCCUUAAGCAGAAUAGCAACAACUUUUGUCUAACUCUGGAUUUUAUUAAGUUCUUAAUUUUAGGGUGGUAAAUAUGGGGACCAAAGUCUUUGGGAGAGCCCAAAUGCAGGAAACUUCCUCCCUGCCCACAUUAACUAACCAGAUGUAUUUAUGCCUAUAUGCUGUGGAGCCAUUACAGAGACAGAUGCGUAUAUCUACAUUACUGUCUUUUCUGCCCAGUGUAUCUGAAGUUUUGCUUAUGUAUGUAGAAGUUUUGCUCUUACCUGGGAGAAAACUGAGGUGUGAAGAGCAGGAGAUUUGUCCUUGCCCACAUGGUAAGUGAAAAGUUGCACCAAAAAGAACUAUCACCCUACAGUGUAGAAAUGUUCUUCCUAGUGAUAUGUUAAUUUUAACAAAAUGUUACCAUAAUGAAGCAGCAUAUUUAACUCAUGGAGGUUUUUUAUAGCAGUACUCUGUAUGUGCAAAGUAAAAUCUGAUAGUAUCUCUAACAGAGUCUUCCCCCCUUUUUUAAAAUAAAGAACUUCAAGAGCAGAGUGGGAGGGUUUUAAUGAUAAAAAUAUAAAGAGUAGGAUUCCUAUCAUCUUUAACUAAGGAUAGGCUCCAUUUCCUAGUUGUUUAACCUCAAAAAAAAUUCCAAUUCUUAAGAAAUUUAAGAUACUUUGGAAUCUAAAAUAACACUGAAUAUCAUUAGAAAAUUCCUUUGUCCUCUUAUGAUCAUUUUACUUUGGUAAACAACUUUUCUCCGUAUUCUUCUUAAAGAUCACUAUUUUUAAUUAAGUUGAAUCACGAAAUGGAUAGCACGGUACAUGCUUUUUGCCCCUGAGAUACUUCGUUUUGAAAGAAUCCUAGAGUAGAGUUGAAGAGAUUAGAGUUGAAGGGAAAUUUACAAGACAUCAGUCUAAUCUUUCAUUCUGGGUAGGACUGUCAUUUACAACAUACCUGAAAGGAAACCAGGCAGUAUCUAUAAGAAUACGACCAAUGACAGGGACCUCACUCCUUCACACAGUGGUCUACCCUCUGUUCCCCAAUUCUCGUCACUUUAUAGUUCUUCCUCAUUUUGAAUAAAAAUCUACCCAUUCUUUUGCCUGGACCUGACUCCCAAGUGACACAAAGUCUCCUCUUUCUUCAUAUAUGAUUUUUGAGGACUUGUUUCCUUGCUUCAGGCUUUUGUUCUUCCAAACAAAGGAUUUGUCUUUGAUUUGUCCUUUGAUUUGUCUUCCUCUACCUGUGGUUCAGAUCCAUCAGUAUCGUCCUUCCCUAUGAAAGUCAUUGUCCUUUCAAUCUAUUAUAAUUUCCCAGUCUCCCUUUUAAAAUGUGCACCUCAAAAUUCAUGCAACCUUUGGUAAUCUUCAGAAAUUGCUGCUGCUGAGAAAUGUCCCCUGCUUUAUGUGACUAGGCCAGAAAUGUCCCCUGCUUUAUGUGACUAGGCCAGAAAUGUCCCCUGCUUUA